GCCCGCGCCUCUCCCGCCACACCUCCCUGCAAGCUGAGGGAGCCGGCUCCUGCCUUGGCCAGGCUAGAAAGGGGCUCCCACAGUGCAGGGGCGGGCUGAAGGGCUCCUCAAGUGCCACCAAAGUGGGAGCCCAGGCAGAGGAGGUGCCGAGAGCGAGCGAGGGCUGCGAGGACUGCCAGCAGCUGUCACCUCUCGUUACCAUCACUCCUAGUGACCAUUUCGGAUAAUCCACCUUGCCUCAUCAAACCAGAAAACAAUUCAAACCUGGCCUCCUUCUAACUGGAAGCCACAUUUUAAGAACUUAUUGUGAAGAACUGGAAAGCCUCCAAUAGAACAGAAGCUAAAAGCAGAAAUUAUAAAAGCUGUUACACCUACUCAGCUCUAUUACAUGUUGGAAAAACUGAACCAGAGAAACAAUUACAUACACUCUUGUCUUCUGGAAAAGCUGAAUUGGGUUUUGGUCUGAAUCAAUAGGACCCAUUAUACAGGCUGCCUUUCCAGCUCUCCAAUCAUACUUCCAAGAAAACUGCUCACUCUCAGAACCAAGGUUCAAGUUGUACAUUGGGAUUUGGGUAGAGGUAAGAGGAAACACCCUCAAAUAGAUUUGGAUCAUUCCAGAUGUCCUAUAAAUGAAGUUUGACAUUUGCUCAAGUAUCACCACCUCACUGUAAAAGCAACGAAUCUACCUUCAUUGUGAAAAUUUGGGGACUAGAAUUAAUGAGUACAGUAACCUUAUGGAUAGAACCUUCAGAGUUUUUCAUUAUCUAUGUGAAGAGAUAAUUCUAAAUUAUUUGAGAUCUAGUAUCUGUCAGCUUGGGGACUGGUGUCUAGUCCCAAGACUAGACAAAGGAAACCCUUAUUAGUAUUUUUAUUUUCCAUUUCAAAUAAAAAGGGUAUGUGUUAAAAAAAACUGAGCUGGUUCAAGCUGUAAAGCAUUUCUUAAUUAUAGUUUGGUAAUGCCUGAAAGCCAGAGGACUCCCAGACAAAAAAGAAAAAAGUAUGUUGAUUAAAUAUUUUCCCCUUUUGAGGGUAGAUAGAAAGAAUAAAAGGAAUUUCAAAGUCUCAGGUUGUUAGGAACCUGCAAAGGUGAUUUCUUUUUUUCUAUUCCUUCACCUUGGCAAGGUGAUAAGGCAGAUGAGGAGAAGUAGGAGGCACAGGGCCAUGAAAAUGGACCCAAAGUGAUGGGGCUCUGUUCUCUUGUAAAUGGCCAUCCUUCCAGGACAGCCUUUCUCACAGGCUGCUUCAGCAUCUACUGACUGAUCUCUGAAAUUCGUUUCUCUCAUUUCACCUUCAUACCUCAGAGUUUGUAAUCCAUUCCUUUUGUGCUGUUAAUGAUAAACCACCUGUAAAGACCAGUUUAAUUUCUAAAGAGAUGAAAAUAUUAAUUACACAGACUUUAAGAAUUUUUUUUAAAUUUUUUCCCUCUCAUUUUUUUUUUGUUGUUUAAAACAAACAAACCUUUUUCACUUCUUCCUCUCUUUUCCUCAUUUAUCAUCUUAUUUCUUAUUUACAGUUUUACUUGUUUGUGUUAGUGGCAGGAUGAUAUUAAUUUCAAAACCCUUGGAGACAUACUUUGUUGAAUCUGAAAGUUAAAGGUGGCUUUGUGCUUAGCUUUUUCCUAGCAAGAUCUAAUAUUAAAAUGUAACUUGCUAUUACAAAA
ensembl:lncRNA LINC02046 long intergenic non-protein coding RNA 2046